rnacentral:piRNA from 1 species
GCAGAACACUAUAUUCAUAAUAAAUU